GAGAGAGAGAGAGAGAGAAGCAACAAAAGAGUUCUGGUAAGAGAGAGUUACUAGAGAGAGAGUUACUAGAGAGAGAGAGAGGGGUAACAAACUAACCAGCCAAGGUGGUCAAAAGGUAGGUUUUUUAGGAGAUCGAAAUCGAAUGGGUCGCUCGUUCUGGGAGAGCUCUUCGCUUCUCUCUUUUUACUCUCUCUUUCCUUUUUUUUCUUUAUUUUUAUUUAUUUAA
rnacentral:misc_RNA from 1 species